rnacentral:rRNA from 1 species
ACUCCUACGGGAGGCAGCAGUGGGAAUAUUGGACAAUGGGCGCAAGCCUGAUCCAGCCAUGCCGCGUGAGUGAUGAAGGCCCUAGGGUUGUAAAGCUCUUUCGGCGGGGACGAUAAUGACGGUACCCACAGAAGAAGCACCGGCUAACUCCGUGCCAGCAGCCGCGGUAAUACGGAGGGUGCGAGCGUUAAUCGGAAUUACUGGGCGUAAAGCGCGCGUAGGCGGCAAGCUAAGUCUGAUGUGAAAGCCCUGGGCUUAACCUGGGAAUGGCAUUGGAUACUGGCUAGCUCGAGUGUGUUAGAGGGUGGCGGAAUUCCAGGUGUAGCGGUGAAAUGCGUANAGAUCUGAAGGAAUACCAGUGGCGAAGGCGGCCCCCUGGACAAAGACUGACGCUCAGAUGCGAAAGCGUGGGGAGNAAACAGGAUUAGAUACCCUGGUAGACUGUC